UACGAAGGGGGCUAGCGUUGCUCGGAAUUACUGGGCGUAAAGGGUUCGUAGGUGGCCUGCUAAGUCAGACGUGAAAUCCCUCAGCUUAACUGGGGAACUGCGUCUGAUACUGGAAGGCUUGAGUGCAGGAGAGGAACGCGGAAUUCCAGGUGUAGCGGUGAAAUGCGUAGAUAUCUGGAGGAACACCGGUGGCGAAGGCGGCGUUCUGGACUGCAACUGACACUGAUGAACGAAAGCCAGGGGAGCAAACGGG
rnacentral:rRNA from 1 species